CAAAGAUUUGGUCCUAGUCUUAUUAUCAAUUAAUACUAAACUUACACAUGCAAGUCUCAGCAACCCAGUGAGAACGCCCUCAAGCCUGCAAGGAAAAGGAGCUGGUAUCAGGCUCAGUAUCCCUAGCCCACAACACCUAACAUCGUCACACCCACAAGGGUAUUCAGCAGUGAUCAACAUUGACAGUAAGCGACAGCUUGACCCAGUUAAAGUAGAUAAAGUUGGCUAAUCCGGUGCCAGCCGCCGCGGCUACACCGUUAAACUUAAAUUGAUAAUCAACGGCGUUAAACGUGUUUUAAGUACUUUAAAAUUAGAAUUAAACUAAGGCUACAUAGUAAUAAGUGUGCCCCACAGAAACACAGGAACGUAAGUCAUUCUAAUAAAACACUUGAAUCCACGACAAUUAAGAAACAAACUGGGAUUAGAUACCCCACUAUGCUUAAUCGUAAAAUAUAUAAUCACGCCCCAAACCGCCAGGAUAGUACGAGCAAAAAGCUUAAAAUUCAAAGGACUUGACGGUGUCCCAUCCAACUAGAGGAGCCUGUUCCAUAAUCGAUAACCCCCGAUGAACCUAACCACUUUUAGCCAAUCAGUCUGUAUACCUCCGUCGCAAGCUUACCGUAUGAAUGUUGUUAAGUAGGCAAAAAGAUUACUUCACCCACACGUCAGGUCAAGGUGCAGCCCACGAAGUGGUGAGAGAUGGGCUACAGUUUCUAAGUUAGAACAUACGAAAACUUUAUAUGAAAAACUAACCAAGAAGGCGGAUUUAGAAGUAAAGGGUAAGUAGAGUGUACCCUUUAAUUUGGCCCCGGGACGUGUACACACCGCCCGUCAUCCUCUUCGGCCAAAAAUAACUUAGUUAAUAACACACUAUAUAUAGCAAAGAAGAGGCAAGUCGUAACAUGGUAAGCAUACUGGAAAGUGUGCUUGGAUUAA
rnacentral:ncRNA from 1 species